GACGCUGGCGGCGUGCCUAACACAUGCAAGUCGAACGGAGUGAGACGCUGAAUUGAUUCUAGCUUGCUAGAGGAUUUUCUUGUUUCACUUAGUGGCGGACGGGUGAGUAACGCGUGAGCAAUCUGCCUUUCAGAGGGGGAUAACACUCUGAAAAGAGUGCUAAUACCGCAUAACGUGUUUUGGUGGCAUCACCGAAACACCAAAGGAGCAAUCCGCUGAAAGAUGAGCUCGCGUCCAAUUAGGUAGUUGGUGAGGUAACGGCUCACCAAGUCGACGAUCAUUAGCCGGACUGAGAGGUUGAACGGCCACAUUGGGACUGAGACACGGCCCAGACUCCUACGGGAGGCAGCAGUGNGGAAUAUUGGGCAAUGGGCGCAAGCCUGACCCAGCAAUGCCGCGUGAAGGAUGAAGGUUUUCGGAUUGUAAACUUCUUUUGUCAAGGACGAUAAUGACGGUACUUGACGAAUAAGCCACGGCUAACUACGUG
rnacentral:rRNA from 1 species